rnacentral:misc_RNA from 1 species
GUCCAGAGACGGAGGGAAGAGUAAACGAGUCAACAGAAAGUGGGUUCUCUAUGUCGUUUGUGCUAGAGGAACUUGAGGGUUAGAGCCCAGAGGGAGCCAAAUCAAAAUCGAUAAUGAGAAGUAAGCAAGCAUGCCGUAGCUUGAAGGACCGACGAUCACCGUAGGUCAGAGCGUAUGGUAGAGAGCUUAAACUUGAGCGGGAGAGC